rnacentral:rRNA from 1 species
GGCAAAGUAUAGGUAUGUUUCCACCGGGUUUGGGAGUUGUAAAACUCCGUAAUGAUUUCCGUAGGGGUGACCUGCGGAGGGAUCAUUACCGAGUUUACAACUCCCAAACCCCUGUGAACAUACCUAUACGUUGCCUCGGCGGAUCAGCCCGCGCCCCGUAAAACGGGACGGCCCGCCCGAGGACCCUAAACUCUGUUUUUAGUGGAACUUCUGAGUAAAACAAACAAAUAAAUCAAAACUUUCAACAACGGAUCUCUUGGUUCUGGCAUCGAUGAAGAACGCAGCAAAAUGCGAUAAGUAAUGUGAAUUGCAGAAUUCAGUGAAUCAUCGAAUCUUUGAACGCACAUUGCGCCCGCCAGUAUUCUGGCGGGCAUGCCUGUUCGAGCGUCAUUUCAACCCUCAAGCUCAGCUUGGUGUUGGGACUCGCGGUAACCCGCGUUCCCCAAAUCGAUUGGCGGUCACGUCGAGCUUCCAUAGCGUAGUAAUCAUACACCUCGUUACUGGUAAUCGUCGCGGCCACGCCGUUAAACCCCAACUUCUGAAUGUUGACCUCGGAUCAGGUAGGAAUACCCGCUGAACUUAA